GACGAACGCUGGCGGCGUGCUUAACACAUGCAAGUCGAACGGAAAGGCCCAUUCUUGCUUGGGUACUCGAGUGGCGAACGGGUGAGUAACACGUGAGUUGUCUGCCCUGCCCUUCGGGAUAAGCGUGGGAAACUGGGUUUAAUACCGGAUAUGCCCACUGCUUGGAUGGUGUGGGGGAAAGUCUGUUCGGUGGGGGAUGAGCUCGCGGCCUAUCAGCUUGUUGGUGGGGUAGUGGCUUACCAAGGCGUUGACGGGUAGCCGGCCUGAGAGGGUGUACGGCCACAUUGGGACUGAGAUACGGCCCAGACUCCUACGGGAGGCAGCAGUGGGGAAUAUUGCACAAUGGGCGCAAGCCUGAUGCAGCGACGCCGCGUGGGGGAUGACGGCCUUCGGGUUGUAAACCGCUUUCGCUAGGGGCGAAGCGUGUUGUGACGGUACCUGGAGAAGAAGCACCGGCUAACUACGUG
rnacentral:rRNA from 1 species